rnacentral:sRNA from 1 species
GUUACCUUUACUCUGCCUUUAUCCUUGUACCGAAAUAUAGCAAAGCUUGGAAAGGUCUCUCUCAUCUCUACGGGUUUAACAACUCUGAUUCUUGGAAUUGUAAUGGCGAGGGCAAUUUCACUGGGUCCACACAUACCAAAAACAGAAGACGCUUGGGUAUUUGCAAAGCCCAAUGCCAUUCAAGCGGUCGGGGUUAUGUCUUUUGGUGAGUAUUUGGUUUCAAAGGCCCUUUCUCAAUGUGGAGUUCUCUGUUCCAUGAAAAAGUGCUGUGUUUCAUAUUUAUGUCUGGAUAGCAGAUGUCCUAAGUUUUAGACUUCCUAUUAGCAGCAUAUGAUCUAGUUUGUGCCAAUAUAAAAUUAGGCUCAAACUUUUCUCACUCAUCACUAAAAUUUGCUUCAAUUUGGAGAAAUCUAUUUCUCAUGCAGAAACUCAUUACAGUCAUCUUGUUUCUUAACUUGGAAGGCUAGCAAGUGUUAUGGACUUCUUCAAACCCUUUAUUAUGUCCCAAAUGGCAAAGGAAGCCACAGAAUGAAAACGAUGGGAAAAAGAUUUCCUUCAGAUGGGAAGGGUCAUUAGGAAAAGGAAAAUGAGAGAGAAGGUUGGACUGGCCUGGUUUAUAUCAAGAGUAACAUGAAAAGACCAUAUAAGCCUGAUGUGAAUGAAUGGUCUCAUUUCUAGAACUA